rnacentral:rRNA from 1 species
CCUACGGGGGGCAGCAGUCGAGAAUCUUUCACAAUGGGGGCAACCCUGAUGGAGCGACGCCGCGUGGAGGAUAAGGUCUUCGGAUUGUACACUCCUGUCAUGCGAGAACAAGGUUGCAGGGCUAACACCUUUGCAAAUUGAUGGUACCGCAAGAGGAAGAGACGGCUAACUCUGUGCCAGCAGCCGCGGUCAUACAGAGGUCUCAAGCGUUGUUCGGAAGGGCUGGGAGGUGGCGGGGCGUAUCAGGCGUGAAAGCCCGGGGCUCAACCUCGGAAUUGCAUCCGAUACUGCCAUGCUGGAGUACUGAAGAGGUGACUAGAAUUCUAGGUGUAGCAGUGAAAUGCGUAGAUAUCUAGAGGAAUACCAACGGCGAAGGCAGGUCACUGGGCAGUUACUGACACUGAGGCACGAAGGCCAGGGGAGCAAACGGGAUUAGAUACCCCAGUAGUC